rnacentral:rRNA from 1 species
AGUAAACGCGGGGGGUAGGCAUAACACAUGCAAGUAGAACUGCAGCCUAGUAAGCGUUUGCUCUAACGGGAGGAGCGGGGCGUACCGGUGCAGAAAACACCGGAUUCUACCUUUUCGUGGGGGAUCACGUAGGGAAACAUACGCUCAUAUCGCAUACAUCCUACGUGUGGAAGCACAGGAUCUUAGCACCUUGCGCGAACGGAUGCGCCGAUGUCGGAUUAACUAGUUAGCGGGGUAAAGGCCCACCAAGGCGACGAUCCGUAGCUGGUAUGAGAGGAUGAUCAGCCACACUGGAACUCAGACACGGUCCAGACUCCUACGGGAGGCAGCAGUGGGGAAUAUUGGACAAUGGGCGCAAGCCUGAUCCAGCCAUACCGCGUGGGUGAAGAAGGCCUUCGGGUUGUAAAGCCCUUUUGUUGGGAAAGAAAAGCAGCAGGUUAAUACCCCGCUGUUCUGACGGUACCCAAAGAAUAAGCACCGGCUAACUUCGUG